rnacentral:rRNA from 1 species
AAUUAACCCUCUAGGUAGUAUGCUAAACCAAUAUGCGCUGGCGGUCUUUAUAUAUUAGAGAAACUCGCUUUAUAAUCGUAAAUACCCGUUAAUUUUAACUUAAUUCAACAAGCCUAUAUACCGCCGUUACUUAGAACUUAUUUAAAAUUACCCAAAUCUCAACAUAAAUUAUACUAUAAAAAAUCAGGUCAAGGUGUAGCUCAUAAUUAAGAAAAAGUAAGUUACAAUAAAAAUAAUUUAAGGACCAUAGAUAAAAAUCUCAACGAAAGAGAAUUUAUAAGUACACAUUAAUUAAAAUUUAAUAUAGAACCAUAUAAUAAAGAUGC